GUGCGUCUUGAGAGUACAUUGGCUGCACUGUCUCUUAAUCAGCGGGUCCAAGGUUCGAGUCCUUGUGCGCCCACCA
rnacentral:tRNA from 1 species